rnacentral:rRNA from 1 species
UACGGGGGGAGCAAGCGUUGUUCGGAUUUACUGGGCGUAAGGGCGCGUAGGCGGCCCGCUAAGUCGAACGUGAAAUCCCCAGGCUCAACCUGGGAACUGCGUCCGAUACUGGCAGGCUUGAAUCCGGGAGAGGGAUGUGGAAUUCUAGGUGUAGCGGUGAAAUGCGUAGAUAUCUGGAGGAACACCGGUGGCGAAGGCGGCAUCCUGGACCGGCAUUGACGCUGAGGCGCGAAAGCCAGGGGGAGCAA